rnacentral:sRNA from 1 species
GACACUGGUGGUUGGCACUCCUGGCUUCCAGGAUGGGGUUCAAAUCCCUAUGGUGUC